rnacentral:rRNA from 1 species
UGCAGUCGAGCGAAUGAAGAGGAGCUUGCUCCUCUGAUUUAGCGGCGGACGGGUGAGUAACACGUGGGUAAUCUGCCUGUAAGACGGGGAUAACUCCGGGAAACCGGGGCUAAUACCGGAUAAUAAGAAGAAACGCAUGUUUCUUUUUUGAAAGUCGGUUUCGGCUGACACUUACAGAUGAGCCCGCGGCGCAUUAGCUAGUUGGUGAGGUAACGGCUCACCAAGGCGACGAUGCGUAGCCGACCUGAGAGGGUGAUCGGCCACACUGGGACUGAGACACGGCCCAGACUCCUACGGGAGGCAGCAGUAGGGAAUCUUCGGCAAUGGGCGAAAGCCUGACCGAGCAACGCCGCGUGAGCGAUGAAGGCCUUCGGGUCGUAAAGCUCUGUUGUUAGAGAAGAACAAGUACGAGAGUAACUGCUCGUACCUUGACGGUACCUAACCAGAAAGCCACGGCUAACUACGUGCCAGCAGCCGCGGUAAUACGUAGGUGGCAAGCGUUAUCCGGAAUUAUUGGGCGUAAAGCGCGCGCAGGCGGUCUCUUAAGUCUGAUGUGAAAGCCCACGGCUCAACCGUGGAGGGUCAUUGGAAACUGGGAGACUUGAGUGCAGGAGAGAAAAGUGGAAUUCCACGUGUAGCGGUGAAAUGCGUAGAGAUGUGGAGGAACACCAGUGGCGAAGGCGGCUUUUUGGCCUGUAACUGACGCUGAG